rnacentral:rRNA from 1 species
GAUGAACGCUGGCGGCGUGCCUAAUACAUGCAAGUAGAACGCUGAAGGAAGGAGCUUGCUCUUUCCGGAUGAGUUGCGAGCGGGUGAGUAACGCGUAGGUAACCUGCCUGGUAGCGGGGGAUAACUAUUGGAAACGAUAGCUAAUACCGCAUAACAGUAGAUGUUGCAUGAUAUCUACUUAAAAGGUGCAAUUGCACCACUACCAGAUGGACCUGCGUUGUAUUAGCUAGUUGGUGAGGUAACGGCUCACCAAGGCGACGAUACAUAGCCGACCUGGGAGGGUGAUCGGCCACACUGGGACUGAGACACGGCCCAGACUCCUACGGGAGGCAGCAGUAGGGAAUCUUCGGCAAUGGACGGAAGUCUGACCGAGCAACGCCGCGUGAGUGAAGAAGGUUUUCGGAUCGUAAAGCUCUGUUGUAAGAGAAGAACGAGUGUGAGAGUGGAAAGUUCACACUGUGACGGUAUCUUACCAGAAAGGGACGGCUAACUACGUG